rnacentral:misc_RNA from 1 species
GAUGAAGAACGUAGCGAAAUGCGAUAAGUAGUGUGAAUUGCAGAAUUCAGUGAAUCAUCGAAUCUUUGAACGCACAUUGCGCCCCUUGGUAUUCCAUGGGGCAUGCCUGUUCGAGCGUCAUUUGUACCCUCAAGCUUUGCUUGGUGUUGGGUGUUUGUCCCGCGUUGCGCGUGGACUCGCCUUAAAGCGAUUGGCAGCCGGCAUAUUGGCCUUGGAGCGCAGCACAUUUUGCGCUUCUAGUCAUGUAUGUUGGCGUCCAUUAAGCCUAUACAUUUGCUCUUGACCUCGGAUCAGGUAGGGAUACCCGCUGAACUUAAGCAUAUCAAUAAGCGGAGGA